GAUGAACGCUGGCGGCGUGCCUAAUACAUGCAAGUCGAGCGAACAGACGAGGAGCUUGCUCCUCUGGCGUUAGCGGCGGACGGGUGAGUAACACGUGGAUAACCUACCUAUAAGACUGGGAUAACUUCGGGAAACCGGAGCUAAUGCCGGAUAAUAUAUUGAACCGCAUGGUUCAAUAGUGAAAGACGGUUUUGCUGUCACUUAUAGAUGGAUCCGCGCCGCAUUAGCUAGUUGGUAAGGUAACGGCUUACCAAGGCAACGAUGCGUAGCCGACCUGAGAGGGUGAUCGGCCACACUGGAACUGAGACACGGUCCAGACUCCUACGGGAGGCAGCAGUAGGGAAUCUUCCGCAAUGGGCGAAAGCCUGACGGAGCAACGCCGCGUGAGUGAUGAAGGUCUUCGGAUCGUAAAACUCUGUUAUUAGGGAAGAACAAAUGUGUAAGUAACUAUGCACGUCUUGACGGUACCUAAUCAGAAAGCCACGGCUAACUACGUG
rnacentral:rRNA from 1 species